rnacentral:lncRNA from 1 species
GCAGUGACUUGCAGCUCCCAGCCAGUCAUGUUUACUCAGCCACAAUUCCAUGGUAAGGUGAAGAAUAUCCACAGUGAUGAAUGACCGAAAGAUGAAUGAGAUGCUAAAAGAAGUACCCACCCACUAUGGCACUGGAGGGAAGGUCCCAAUCUCAACUAUCAAGACACCUUGUGCCUAGGAUUGGAAGCAGACACAUAGAAAUCCACCAAACCCCAUCUAGAUUCUGAGCCCCACCCUUUCUGGAUGGUUUCCAAGGAUUUUGACUCAAGAAUUUUGAAUCAAAACUUCUAUCUUUGCUUAAUAAGCUUAGUAGGUUUUCCCAACUUCAGCUACACAAGAAAAUUUAAAUUUAUGUAUCAGUGACUGGGCCUCACCUAAAUCAAGGGAAUCAGCAUCUCUUAGUAAGGCUAUAGGCCUAGACAAGGAUAAACCUCUGGGUGAUUUUUCUGUGCAUACAGCAUUGAAACCAUACUUCACUGGUCAAUUAUCAACUUUUACAGCUUUAAACAAAUGUUAGGGAAGAUAUACUUAUUACAGAACUGACUGCAUGAUUAAGAGGAUAAAUAGGAUUUAGAAAAUAAAGAAGCAGUCACCAAAGACAAAACAUCAGUAAGGGUGAAAGCAGUAGUCACCAAUGAAAUUGCGGUGCCAGGUAUUGUCUAUUGGUGCUGGCACCAAUUUCCAAGCUCUCCUAUUGUCUUCCUUGUCUGAAGAGAAGGAAGAUUAAAACUCUAUGUCCCAGUCUUCUUUGUAGAUACAGUCCCAGUAGUGUUUUAGAUUCAGUUAACAUGAUCCACUCCUGCUACAUUUGGAAGAUGGAAGGAUUUCUGCAGGUACAGGGAGAGGAGGCACCAGCAGAGCUGCAUCAUGAGCACAGUGACCUUGUAAUCUAUAAAUGGACAUGGUGAAGAUGCAAAAUGGAAUGAGUCUGGGGUCCUGAAUCACUGCUUGGAAUAGAGGCAUCUUGGAAGAGGUUUCUCCCAUCACAGUGGCACCAAACAAAAUGACAACUGGAUAUAAAGGGGAGACAAAAGGUGUUGGGAAUGAGUGAGAUGUUAAAAGAAACAAGGACACAGUGUUAAAUCAGUGGACCCUGAUCAGUUUAGGGAGAAAAAACUUGCUGUUGGGAUAAGCCACCAAGAGAAUCACCUUUAUCUAACAGCACUUAGCAGAAUAACAGUUAAAAGAAGUUGUUUCUGUUCUUACACUGAACCGUAACUGAAAUAGUCACCAAAGUAAGAAUAAAUCACCAGUAAAAUUGAUGCAGAAAGCAUUAUUAGGGACUGAGAAUAUAGCAUGUGCAAAGUCUUGUGUUCAAUUCC